rnacentral:piRNA from 1 species
UAUAAUGGCUUGUCGGCUGGGAUUAUA